rnacentral:tRNA from 1 species
UAGGAAGUGGUGUAACGGGAACACUUGGAGUUUUGAUCUCUGCGAUGUGGGUUCGAGUCCCUUCUUUCUAA